AUGAAGCACUUGAAGACGAUGAUAAAAAGAAGACCAAAGGGGAGAUUUUGGCCCUUAAGGGAAGUUACAGAUGUGAUGAUGAAGCUGAUGAUGAAUUUGGUUGAAGUUAUUGUAAUUGUAAUACCCAAAAUUUUCCCUACUAGUAUUACUAGGCAACAUAGUUUAUUUAAUCAUGUUUUCUAUUAA